UACGUAGGGGGCAAGCGUUGUCCGGAUUUAUUGGGCGUAAAGAGCGUGUAGGCGGCCAGAUAGGUCCGUUGUGAAAACUCGAGGCUCAACCUCGAGACGCCGAUGGAAACCAUCUGGCUAGAGUCCGGAAGAGGAGAGUGGAAUUCCUGGUGUAGCGGCGAAAUGCGCAGAUAUCAGGAAGAACACCCGUGGCUAAGGCGGCUCUCUAGUACGGUACUGACGCUGAGACGCGAAAGCGUGGGGAGCGAACAGG
rnacentral:rRNA from 1 species